rnacentral:ncRNA from 1 species
CAUAUUAAAGUAUGGUGUUUAAUUAACUUUUUUUACUUGGUACAGCACUUAAUCUGGACUGGGGAUCAUUAUGAUUUUACUUUUUAGAUUUAAACUCGGCAUAGGUAACAAAAAAAAUUAAAUACUCAGAAUGUCAGACAUUCUGCGAUAACGUGGUUUGUCAAAAGGGAAACAGCCC